GAGUUUGAUCAUGGCUCAGAUUGAACGCUGGCGGCAUGUGCUUGCGAGUCGAACGGCAGAGCGGGGAGUUUAUGCUCCCUAGCGGCGAGUGGCGGACGGGUGAGUAAUGCGUAGAUCUACCUUAUAGAGGACAACCCGGGGAAACUCGGGCUAAUACCGCAUGAUCUCUAUGGAGUAAACGGGGAUUGCGGUCUGACCUCGCUAAAAUGAGCCUAUGUCGGAUUAGCUUGUUGGUGGGAGUGAUGCCUACCAAGGCGACGAUCCGUAGCUGGUCUGGGAGGGAGGGGGAUGAUCGGCACUGGGACUGAGACACGGCGCAGACUCCUACGGGAGGCGGCAGUGGGGAAUGCGGACAAUGGGAAACCUGAUCCAGCAAUGCCGCGUGUGUGAAGAAGGCCCCCGGGUUGUAAAGCACUUUCAGUAGGAAGAAAUUCUCAAGAGUAAUAUACUUGACGUUGACGUUACCUACAGAAGAAGCGCGGCUAACUCUGUGCCAGCAGCCGCGGUAAUACAGAGUGCUGCGAGCGUUAAUCGAAUCACUGGGCGUAAAGAAGAGGCGCGUAGGUGGAUAUUUAAGUCGGAUGUGAAAGCCCUAGGCUUAACCUAGGAACUGCACUCGAUACUGGAUAUCAGUAUGGUAGAGGAAGUGGAAUUUUCGGUGUAGCGGUAAAAAUGCGUAGAUAUCAGGAAGAACACCAGUGGCGAAGGCGGCUUCCUGGACCAAUACUGACACUGAGGUGCGAAAGCGUGGGGAGCAAACCAGGACAAGACCCUGGUAGUCCACGCCGUCAACGAUGUGAGAACUGGCUGUUAGGAGGGGGUGGUUUCUAGUGGCGAAGCUAACGCGUUAAAGUUCUCCGCCUGGGAAGUACAACCGCAAGGUUAAAACUCAAAGAAAUUGACGGGGGCCCGCACAAGCGGUGGAGCAUGUGGUUUAAUUCGAUGCAACGCGAAAAACCUUACCUACCCUUGACAUCCUCAGAACUUGUCGAAAUGACUUGGUGCCUUCGGGGACUGAGUGACAGGUGCUGCAUGGCUGUCGUCAGCUCGUGUCGUGAGAUGUUGGGUUAAGUCCCGUAACGAGCGCAGCCCUCUCGUGUAGCUGCCAGCGGUUCGGUCAGGAACUCUAAGGAGACUGCCGGUGAUAAACCGGAGGAAGGUGGGGAUGAUGUCGGAGUCAUCAUGGCCCUUACGGGUAGGGCUACACACGUGCUACAAUGGGCAGUACAAAGGGUUGCCAAACCAUAGGUGGAGCCAAUCCCAAAAAACUGCUCUUAGUCCGGAUUGAAGUCUGCAACUCGACUUCAUGAAGCUGGAAUCGCUAGUAAUCGCGAAUCAGAAUGUCGCGGUGAAUACGUUCUCGGGCCUUGUACACACACGCGUACACCAUGGGGUAAGAUUGUACCAGAAGCGGGUAGGCUAACCUUCAGUGGAGCCGCUCACCGGUGUGGUUCAUGACUGGGGUG
rnacentral:rRNA from 1 species